rnacentral:rRNA from 1 species
CGAACGCUGGCGGCAUGCCUAACACAUGCAAGUCGAACGAGACCUUCGGGUCUAGUGGCGCACGGGUGCGUAACACGUGGGAGUCUGCCCUUUGCUUCGGAAUAACAGUUAGAAAUGACUGCUAAUACCGGAUGAUGUCGAAAGACCAAAGAUUUAUCGGCAAAGGAUGAGCCCGCGUAGGAUUAGGUAGUUGGUGGGGUAAAGGCUCACCAAGCCGACGAUCCUUAGCUGGUCUGAGAGGAUGAUCAGCCACACUGGGACUGAGACACGGCCCAGACUCCUACGGGAGGCAGCAGUGGGGAAUAUUGGACAAUGGGCGAAAGCCUGAUCCAGCAAUGCCGCGUGAGUGAUGAAGGCCUUAGGGUUGUAAAGCUCUUUUACCAGGGAUGAUAAUGACAGUACCUGGAGAAUAAGCUCCGGCUAACUCCGUGCCAGCAGCCGCGGUAAUCU